AACGAACGCUGGCGGCAGGCCUAACACAUGCAAGUCGAACGCCCCGCAAGGGGAGUGGCAGACGGGUGAGUAACACGUGGGAACGUACCCUUCGGUUCGGGAUAACUCAGGGAAACUUGAGCUAAUACCGGAUACGUCCGAGAGGAGAAAGAUUUAUCGCCGAGGGAUCGGCCCGCGUCUGAUUAGCUUGUUGGUGAGGUAACGGCUCACCAAGGCGACGAUCAGUAGCUGGUCUGAGAGGAUGAUCAGCCACAUUGGGACUGAGACACGGCCCAAACUCCUACGGGAGGCAGCAGUGGGAAUAUUGGACAAUGGGCGCAAGCCUGAUCCAGCCAUGCCGCGUGAGUGAUGAAGGCCCUAGGGUUGUAAAGCUCUUUUACCCGGGAAGAUAAUGACUGUACCGGGAGAAUAAGCCCCGGCUAACUUCGUGCCAGCAGCCGACCGU
rnacentral:rRNA from 1 species